rnacentral:sRNA from 1 species
UAUCUCUCCGUACGGGGAAGGAUGAGAAGCUUCGACUAAGGUUCGAUUCGAGCGCAGCGAGAAAGCGUUGCCGUAGGCAACGACCCGAAGGGCGAAGCGCUCAGCGCUGAGUAAUCCUUCCCCCGUCAUCC